AAAAAAAAAGUGUAACUCUAAGUUAUAAGAACUGCAACCAAAAGCAAAAGGCUGACAAUAACUGGCUCACUUUAAGAGAAUGGUUUUGAGUCUUCUUCAUUAAUAUACUUUGGAGACCCACAGUUAUAACUUUAAUGCCCAAAUUUCAAUAGUAUCCAAAAUAAUCUCUGAGCUAGCCUUAGGAUGUUUCUUAGCUAAGCGUUAUUAGUUUGGCUGGCUCACUCUUGGACAGAAAAAAAACAUAUUUAUGGUACUCCAAAUGUAGAAAAACCCAUGGCUUUUAUUUAAUACAUUUACAGUUUCUUGAGAUUACAAAACAUUUCACAGUUUCUAUCUGUAUGUAUAUUUAAAUUUCCUCUAAAUAUCUGAAAUCACACCAUCAGAAUCUAAGUUAGAUGAGAGCAGGAACCCUGACUAUUUCACUCACGUGUGUAGAGCCAAUGUCCCGUCUCCAGAGUAAAGAUUGGAUGGAAUGCAGAAUAUUGAAAUGGAAGGCAGAAUAUUGAAAUGGAAUGCAGAAUAUUGAAAUGGAAUGUAGAAUAUUGAAUGAAUCAAUCAAAGACUUUAACACUUCCAGCUACAGGCAGCUCAUUAUGGCUCAAAGCAGCCAGGCCUCAGAGUUCUUUUUUACAAUGAUUGGACUGUCAUCUCUUCCCACUUGUUUGUUCCAGUUUUAGCUCGUCAGGUCAUGUAGAUUUACUCUACCAUAUAACAAACCUUUAAAUACCUGAACUGAUACUCAUGCCCUACUUUCUCCACCUGACCUCUGAGGUUGACUUAUUUGGAGGUUCAAGAUAAUUGACCACUAAGUCUGGUUCUGGAGAAGUUGGGUUUCCACAUGCCUUACAGUACAAGUGUGGCAAUUCAGGAGGUGAUCUAGAAGCAAGGUGUCCUUGCUCACGGAAGAAUGACAGCGGGAGAGAAGAUCGAAAUCACUGCCCAGGUUAAUAAAGCAAUAUGUGAGAUGACAGUCCAAGUUAGAAACCAGCCAAAGCUUGGAACGUGCUUCCUUGGGGAUUUCAUGUUCAUAUCAAUGACUGAUUUGGAAUUCGGAUUUGCCUUUGAAUGUUGGAGAGCAUGGAAUCAUGCAAGGAUCAGCAGACAGAUCCUGGGUGGUGAUCCGUGAUGUCCAGCUACACAAAAGAAAUGAAUGUCUUUUUUUCCCAAAAGAUGAUGUAUUACAAGAGUCACUACUAAAUCAGCAUCUACGUCAACCAAAUACAACCUCUAAAAGAAAAACAAAUAGGAUGAUAUUAAUCCUGGAGAGUUUUAUUUUGUUUAUAAUUUGGGAUAAUUAAGCUUUGAAGUUUCAUGUUUACUCUUUGAGGAAAGUGUGUCUGGGCUUUACCUCAUUUCCUCCAACCCUCUCUCCCUCUCUGCUCCAGAGACCCAGUGUUCUUUCAGCAACUUGAAAUGUGUUUUCUCUUCCACAGAGAAUAGCAAAUGCUAUUUCUACAAAUGGGAUUCUACCUCUCCCUCUCCCUCUCUUCCAGUCUCAUGUUCUGUUUCAUUUCCUCAGGGACUGCUGCUUUACGACUCCAUGGACUGGGUUGCACCCCCCAUUGCUCCCUCUGCCUUCUACUCUACUUUCCCAGUAUUCAAGACACUCAGAAUCCUCUUUAAUGCCUGUCUUUUUCUGAUUAUAAGCAACAUAAGAACCUGCCACACUGGUUUUAUUCACCAAUGGAUCUCUAGUGCCUUAUUACACAAUAAAUACUUUUUGACUAAGUAUUGUUUGAGGAAAAUGUUAUUUCCGGCACAGAGAAAAUAAUAGCAGAGGCAU
rnacentral:lncRNA from 1 species